GUAAAGUUGGAAACUACCGUUGGAUUGAGAAAUGGAUGUCCGAGAUUCGUCCACGUCACUCGGCGGGAGUUAAAAUUUAACUCAUGGUGACGUGGACGAAUCUCGGACGUCCAUUUCUCGAUCCAACGGUAGUUUUUAAGUUUUU
rnacentral:pre_miRNA from 1 species